AGAGUUUGAUCCUGGCUCAGGAUGAACGCUAGCGGCAGUAAUACAUGCAAGUCGAGGGGCAGCAGGGGUAGCAAUACCCGCUGGCGACCGGCAAACGGGUGCGGAACACGUACACAACCUUCCUUUAAGUGGGGAAUAGCCCAGAGAAAUUUGGAUUAAUACCCCGUAAUAUUAUUGAGUGGCAUCAUUUAGUAAUUAAAGCUCCGGCGCUUGAAGAUGGGUGUGCGUCUGAUUAGGUAGUUGGUAGGGGUAACGGCCCACCAAGCCAACGAUCAGUAACUGGUGUGAGAGCACGACCAGUCACACGGGCACUGAGACACGGGCCCGACUCCUACGGGAGGCAGCAGUAAGGAAUAUUGGUCAAUGGACGCAAGUCUGAACCAGCCAUGCCGCGUGGAGGAUGAAGGUCCUCUGGAUUGUAAACUUCUUUUAUCUGGGAAGAAACCCGUUUUUUCUAAGACGGUUGACGGUACCAGAUGAAUAAGCACCGGCUAACUCCGUGCCAGCAGCCGCGGUAAUACGGAGGGUGCAAGCGUUAUCCGGAUUCACUGGGUUUAAAGGGUGCGUAGGUGGGCAGUUAAGUCAGUGGUGAAAUCUCCGGGCUUAACCCGGAAACUGCCAUUGAUACUAUCUGUCUUGAAUGCCGUGGAGGUAAGCGGAAUAUGUCUGUAGCGGUGAAAUGCUUAGAUAUGACAUAGAACACCAAUUGCGAAGGCAGCUUACUACACGAAUAUUGACACUGAGGCACGAAAGCGUGGGGAUCAAACAGGAUUAGAUACCCUAGUAGUCC
rnacentral:rRNA from 1 species